UGUUUGGACCUCACUUCGAGCGGUAUUCAACGACUAUCUCAACCGAUAUACAUACCAACCGAGUUGAUAUGUUGUUUGAAUGCCCCUUGAACUCGAGGCCCCUAGUAAAACCUCAG
rnacentral:pre_miRNA from 1 species